GACGAACGCUGGCGGCGUGCUUAACACAUGCAAGUCGAACGGAAAGGCUCCAGCUUGCUGGAGUACUCGAGUGGCGAAAGGGUGAGUAACACGUGGGUAAUCUGCCCUGCACUCUGGGAUAAGCCUGGGAAACUGGGUCUAAUACUGGAUAUGACCUUUCUCCUUAUGGGGUUUGGUGGAAAGUUUUUCGGUGUAGGAUGAGCCCGCGGCCUAUCAGCUUGUUGGUGGGGUGAUGGCCUACCAAGGCGACGACGGGUAGCCGGCCUGAGAGGGUGAUCGGCCACAUUGGGACUGAGAUACGGCCCAGACUCCUACGGGAGGCAGCAGUGGGGAAUAUUGCACAAUGGGCGGAAGCCUGAUGCAGCGACGCCGCGUGAGGGAUGACGGCCUUCGGGUUGUAAACCUCUUUCAGCAGGGACGAAGCGUAAGUGACGGUACCUGCAGAAGAAGCACCGGCUAACUAUGUG
rnacentral:rRNA from 1 species